rnacentral:rRNA from 1 species
AGUGAACGCUGGCGGCGUGCCUAAUACAUGCAAGUCGAACGGAGUGGCGCACGGGUGAGUAAUAUAUAGCUAAUCUGCCCCUUGCUGGAGGACAACAGUUAGAAAUGACUGCUAAUACUCCAUAGCAAGGGAUGAGACUAUAUCGUAUCAGCUAGUCGGUGGGGUAACGGCCUACCGAGGCUAUGACGCGUAACUGGUCGGAGAGGAUGAGCAGGCACAGUGGAACGGAGGCACGGUCCGAAAUCCUACGGGAAGGAGCAGGAGGGAAUAGUGCGAACUGGGGGAAAGCCUGAAGCAGCAACGCAGCGUGGAGGAUGACACUUUUCGGAGCGUAAACUCCUUUUGUUAGGGAAGCGGUACCUAACGAAUAAGCACCGGCUAACUCCGUGCCAGCAGCCGCGGUAAUAC